GGAGGUCACGUGGGAUUGCUUGAAAAUGGCGAAACGAAACUUGUGAAUCGUGCAUUUGCUCUUCUUGGUAGCUGCCAGAAAAUCGAAUCAAGCUUAUGGGACACUGGAUUACAGGUUGCUGCCACUACUCCAUGUGCCCGCAAUUGUCUUGCGUGUAUGAUUACACUAACGGCGUCGCCCACCACGGCGGAAGUGUUUUGCGUACACGCGUUUCAGCAUGAAGCCUGCAGGUGGACGUAAAUUGUAGAAGGCAGCUAGUGGGGGAGAAGAUCAUGGUCAUAGGUCAUGUGACUCCUGGAGCUCCCAGUGGGCUCCCUUGUGGAGUACUUUUCAGAACACACACACAUACAGUUUGCUCACAGAACCAACGAGUAGGAUGUUGCUUGAAUACUGAGAGAAAAUGGCGUAACACAUACAAAUAUCGUGUGACACAUAUGACAAUAAAAACAUUUUUCACGAGGGAUGCAUGAAACACUGUCGCAAUAUUGUGUGCAUGAACCAUUGUGUGUGACACAAGCCGUGGGGGCACACCGCCUCGGACACAUUUUGGGAAGCAUAAAACACAGUAUAUACAGAGCUAGUAUGGUGGAUGCUUCUUUUUUCUUUUUGGCCGUUAUGAGACAUCUUCGGCCGUAAUGAGACUACCUUCGGCCGUAUUGAGACUUUGGCCGUAACGAGACACUUGGGGAUUAAAGGA